UGGGGAAUCUUGCGCAAUGCGCGAAAGCGUGACGCAGCAACGCCGCGUGAGGGAAGACGGCCUUCGGGUUGUAAACCUCUUUCAGGAGGGACGAAGGUUCAGGCGCGAACAGCGUCCUGGACUGACGGUACCUCCAGAAGAAGCCCCGGCUAACUACGUGCCAGCAGCCGCGGUAAUACGUAGGGGGCAAGCGUUGUCCGGAAUCAUUGGGCGUAAAGAGCGCGUAGGCGGCCGUGUAAGUCCGCUCUGAAAGUCAAAGGCUCAACCUUUGAAAGCGGGUGGAUACUGCACGGCUAGAGUCCGGAAGAGGCGAGUGGAAUUCCUGGUGUAGCGGUGGAAUGCGCAGAUAUCAGGAGGAACACCAACGGCGAAGGCAGCUCGCUGGGACGGUACUGACGCUGAGGCGCGAAAGCGUGGGGAGCGAACAGG
rnacentral:rRNA from 1 species